rnacentral:ncRNA from 1 species
GGGCGUGUGACUGGCGGAUAGUGGAUGAACCACAGGGAGCACGCGGACCGUAUUACGGAAGAUUUGGCCGACCGCCUGGGCACG